CCUACGGGGGGCUGCAGUGAGGAAUCUUGCGCAAUGGACGAAAGUCUGACGCCGCGACGCCGCGUGAAGGAAGAAGCUUUUCGGAGUGUAAACUUCUUUUCCAUAGGACGAUUAUGACGGUACUAUGGGAAUAAGCCACGGCUAACUUCGUGCCAGCAGCCGCGGUAAUACGAGGGUGGCAAGCGUUAUCCGGAUUUAUUGGGCGUAAAGAGCGCGUAGGCGGUUUCAUAAGUCUUGACAUAAAUCUCACUGCCUAACAGUGAACCUUGUUGAGAUACUGUGGAACUAGUGGAUGGCAGGGGUAAGCGGAAUUCCCGGUGUAGGAGUAAAAUCCAUUGAUAUCGGGAGGAACACCAAUGGCGAAGGCAGCUUACUAGGUCAUUUCAGACGCUAAGGCGCGAAAGCGUGGGGAGCGAACGGGCUUAGAUACCCGGGUAGUC
rnacentral:rRNA from 1 species